AAGAUAGCGGCGGAAAGCGCCGGGUCUACGGAUCCGGAAGAGCUUCCUCCCAUUCCAAAGACAUAGCCGCCGUCUCAUGUCCUCAUCAUCGGAUAUACCCGCAGGGGUGGAUCGAGAGAUCCAGCUCCUGGAGGUAUUAGCUGAGCUGGCUCUUGCCGCUGCGGCCCUUUGGGUCGGUUGGGCAUGGCAUGGGGGCCGGUAGCUCAGGUGGUUAGAGCGCACGCUGAUAAGCGUGAGGUCGUAGGUUCAACUCCUACUCGGCCCACCAUCUCGCUGCGCGAGAUGGUUUGUUUGUUAGCCUCAAUCGCCGGCGCGAGCAUCCGCUCGCUUGGCUUUCGCGCCAAUAAGGCGCGGCGGCCGUUCGGCCUUGCGAACCCUUGGGGUUCGAGGGUGCUUCGGCCGCAGGCCGCAAGCGCGAUUGCGCGCCCGAGCUUAUGCGAGGCCCAAACAAAUACGGGGCCUUAGCUCAGUUGGGAGAGCGCUAGCUUUGCAAGCUUGAGGUCGUCGGUUCGAUCCCGACAGGCUCCACCAAUAUCCGAAUGAUGAAGCAACGAGAUCUGCUCCUUGGGAGCAGUAUUGCGGGCGUGGCCCGCGAGCUUUUUGACAUUGUGAAUGGGUUUUUCAAAUCGAUGCCGUGACGGCGUUGGUUUUCGCAGUUGGUCUUCGGAUCGUCUGGGGGAGCGAGCGCCGGAACAAAUCGGAAGCAACAAGUUCCAUCUGGUUGACCGCUAAGAUGGGGCGCUUCCAACAAGGCUGAGAAAUGAACAUCCACACCAAGAUACUGCGCUACACUGCUCUGCCGAGUUUCGUGUUGGCUUAUGCCAAUCCAGUGUUGUCGUUGGUGGUGUGGACUCUCAAGCG
rnacentral:tRNA from 1 species